UAAAUUUUACUUGUUUAAAUAUUGGUAUUGCAUACUAUUACAAUAAAAUUUCAUGUUAAUGAAAAAUAGAAACAAAGGGUAGAGUAAAUAUUAGUUUUAUUGUUUCAUACUAAAAAUUAUAUUUAUUAGAGUUGAUAUGUCGACCUUUGUGAUAACUGUUUUUAUUUUUAUAUUAGAAAAUUAUAUAUUAUAUAAUUAUUUUAGGAAAUUUAAAAUUUGAAGUGUUUUAAAUUUAUGUUUUACAACAUUUUCCUAAUUUUAUUUAAGUUUAAUUUUUAAUUUAAUAAAGUUUUAUUAAAUAAAUAAUUUGUAAAUUAGUAAAUUUUAUAAAUUUAAUUUAUUAUUAAAAUAUAAUUGAAGAACUUGAAGUCUUGAUCAAAUGUUUUUUAAAGACUUAGGCUUUAUAUUAAAGCUGGCUUCUGCCCUAUGAUAUUUAAAUGGCAGUCUUAGCGUGAGGACAUUAAGGUAGCAAAAUAAUUUGUGCUUUUAUUGAGUUCCAGUAUGAAUGAAGUUAUUGGUUAGUUCUAUUUAUGUUUUAUGUUUGAAUUUAAUUUUUAUUUAAGAAAAAAUAAAUAUAUUUAUACAAAGAUAAGUCUUCGGAAAUUCUGUUAUUACACAAUUAAAUAAUUGUGUAAUAAAUUUUCUAGGGCAGAAUAUUAUAUAAUAGUAUUUCACUAUAUUUAAUUUAAAGAAUUACUCCGGA
rnacentral:rRNA from 1 species